CCUACGGGUGGCAGCAGUGAGGAAUAUUGGUCAAUGGACGAGAGUCUGAACCAGCCAAGUAGCGUGAAGGAUGACUGCCCUAUGGGUUGUAAACUUCUUUUAUAUGGGAAUAAAAUGUUCCACGUGUGGGAUUUUGUAUGUACCAUAUGAAUAAGGAUCGGCUAACUCCGUGCCAGCAGCCGCGGUAAUACGGAGGAUCCGAGCGUUAUCCGGAUUUAUUGGGUUUAAAGGGAGCGUAGGUGGAUUGUUAAGUCAGUUGUGAAAGUUUGCGGCUCAACCGUAAAAUUGCAGUUGAAACUGGCAGUCUUGAGUACAGUAGAGGUGGGCGGAAUUCGUGGUGUAGCGGUGAAAUGCUUAGAUAUCACGAAGAACUCCGAUUGCGAAGGCAGUUCACUGGACUGCAACUGACACUGAGGCUCGAAAGUGAGGAUAUCAAACAGGAUUAGAUACCCGAGUAGUC
rnacentral:rRNA from 1 species